CUUAGGACUCUGGAGAUGGGUGGAUCAAGGGUCUCCUGCUCCCAGAACCUCUGCUUUGUGAUCCUCUUUAGCCUGUGUUUUCAUCAAAAUGUGACCUCCUAUUGGGCUCUUCUAGGAACAAACACUGGAACUGCAUCAGAGUCCUCAGCAUGGAGCCAGCCGCAUAGGUGGAGCUCUGUGAAUGUUGAUAGAAUCAGAGUAAGAAAGGAGAGGAUGGCACUGGACCCCACGAUGCAAGCAUCCUCCAGACGCGUCAGCACUGGCAGCCUGGGAGAAGUGUCCUCAUCUGCAAAGCAGGGAUGAAAAAGCACCUACUUCAUAGAGUUCUCGUGACCAUUGAGGACAUGUACAUGUUAGGUGCAUGACUGCAUGGCUGGCACAUGGUAAGCGUUAACUCUUUCCCCACCACCUUCACAGAGGGGCAGGGAAGGAGCCUGUGG
rnacentral:lncRNA from 1 species